rnacentral:rRNA from 1 species
UGGGGAAUUUUGGACAAUGGGCGCAAGCCUGAUCCAGCCAUGCCGCGUGAGUGAAGAAGGCCUUCGGGUUGUAAAGCUCUUUUACCAGGGACGAUAAUGACGGUACCUGGAGAAUAAGCCCCGGCAAACUUCGUGCCAGCAGCCGCGGUAAUACGAAGGGGGCUAGCGUUGUUCGGAAUUACUGGGCGUAAAGCGCACGUAGGCGGAUUGUUAAGUCAGAGGUGAAAUCCCGGAGCUCAACUUCGGAACUGCCUUUGAUACUGGCAAUCUAGAGUCCGGAAGAGGUUAGUGGAAUUCCCAGUGUAGAGGUGAAAUUCGUAGAUAUUGGGAAGAACACCAGUGGCGAAGGCGGCUAACUGGUCCGGUACUGACGCUGAGGUGCGAAAGCGUGGGGAGCAAACAGGAUUAGAUACCACGUAGUCCCUGAGCGGGCUGGCAAGGCGCAU